rnacentral:rRNA from 1 species
AGUGAACGCUGGCGGUAGGCCUAACACAUGCAAGUCGAACGGCAGCACAGUAAGAGCUUGCUCUUACGGGUGGCGAGUGGCGGGCGGGUGAGGAAUACAUCGGACUCUACUUUUUCGUGGGGGUUAACGUAGGUAAACUUACUCUAAUACCGCAUCUGACCUACCGUUGAGAGCAGGGGAUCUUCUGACCUGGCGCGAUUGAAUGAGCGGAUGUGGGAUUAGCUGGUUGGGGGGUUAAAGGCCCACCAAGGCGGCGAUCCGUAGCUGGUCUGAGAGGAUGAUCGGCCACACUGGAGCUGAGACACGGACAAUACUCCUGCGGGAGGCAGCAGUGGGGAAUGUUAGACAAUAGGCGCGAGUCUGACACAGCGGUAGCGCGUGGGUGGAGGAGGCGUUCCGGUUGUGAAGCCCUUUUGUUGGGAAAGAAACGCAGCAGGUUAAUACCCAGCUGUUGUGACGGUACCCAAAGAAGAAGCACCGGCUAACUUCGUG